rfam:TPA: Bos taurus chromosome 17, whole genome shotgun sequence.
UCCCCAGUAGCCCAGCAGGUAAAGAAUCUGCCUGCAAUGCAGAAGACCCCGGUUCAAUUCCUGGGUCGGGAA